AGGAGCAACAGCCCUAGUGGCGGGGCAGCUCUGGAAACCUGGAUUCAGCUCCGGCAGGAGCUCCGUCUGCAGGGCCUGGAGGCUCCGGGACGGG
rnacentral:pre_miRNA from 1 species